CGCAUCUGUGCAUGCAGCAUAUCAAUAAGCGGAGGAAAAGAAACUAACAAGGAUUCCCUUAGUAACGGCGAGUGAAGCGGGAAGAGCUCAAAUUUGAAAUCUUCAAGGUUUUACCUUGACGAAUUGUAGUUUAAAGAAGUGUUUUCUGUUGAAGUUUUGGUAAAAGUUCUUUGGAAUAGGACAUCAUAGAGGGUGAGAAUCCCGUAUUUGACCAUUAUUUUCAGCUGUGUGAUACACUUUCAAAGAGUCGGAUUGUUUGGGAAUGCAGUCCAAAAUGGGUGGUAAAUUUCAUCUAAAGCUAAAUAUUGGCGAGAGACCGAUAGCGAACAAGUACCGUGAGGGAAAGAUGAAAAGAACUUUGAAAAGAGAGUUAAACAGUACGUGAAAUUGUCAAAAGGGAAGCGUUUGACACCAGUGUUGUUUUCCUCGAAAAUCAAUUAAAAAGAGUUAGAUUUUGUUGUGUAUUGACCUUAACAGCUUGCAUUUCAAUUUUCUUGCUUUUUUUAAUGCACUUUUCGUUUAACAAGUCAACAUCAGUUUCUUUUGUUGUAAAAAGGUCAUUGGAAGGUGGCUUUCUUUUCGGAGAAAGUGUUUAUAGCCUUUGACUCCUGCAAUCGGAGAGACUGAGGUCUGCAGCGUAGAUCCUUCGGGGUUAGAUACAUUUGUGCUAAGUUAUAGCUUUUUAUAGACAACUUGUUGACUAUGAUUAGUCUUGUAGCUUACUCGCUUAUGCUAUUUUACCUACGCUUAGGAUGUUGAUGUGAUACUGCGAGCA
rnacentral:rRNA from 1 species